rnacentral:lncRNA from 1 species
ACUUAAUAAAUAUUAAAUGUGCAGAACCAGAAAUGCCAAAAGAAAAAGAGAAGCCCACUCUAACAGUUAAAAAAGCAGAAGUGACAAAAGAAAAAGCCAAGUCUACUCGAGCUGCUAAACAAGCAGAAGUGCCGAAAGAAAAGGCCAGGCCUACUCCAGGGGUUAAAAAACCAGAGGAGGAAACCCAUCCUGAAAAGAAAGAACCCAAGAUCCUGAAAGAGGAACCCAAACCUAUUAAGAAAGAACCAAAGAUUCUGAAGGAGCUCAAACCUAUAAAGAAAGUACCCAAGAUUCCUAAGGAGGGAUCCAAACCUAUAAAGAAAGAACUUAAAAUGCCAAAAGAAGAACCCAAACCAAUAAAGGAAGAACCAGAGAUUCCAAAGGAGGAACCUAAACCUACAAAGAAAGAACCAGAUAUUUCAAAGGAGGAAUCCAAACCAAUAAAGACAGGUAUUUUGCUUAUCAUGCAGACUAAUUUAAUAAUCUGGCAAUACAAUGUCCAACAUUACCCAUCUUUAUCCAUACAUAUUUCUGUAGAACCUAAAAGUCCAAAGAAGGAACUCAAACCAAUCAAGAAAGGUAUUUAUCAUAUCACAGUAAAUUUUGAUUAUCUGGCAACACAAAUAUCAGCAUGACGUAUACAUUUACAUUUACGGCAUUUAUCAGACGCCCUUAUCCAGAGUGUCUUACAAUCAGUAGUUACAGGGACAGUCCCCCUGGAGCAACUUAGGGUUAAGUGUCUUGCUCAGGGACACAAUAGUAGUAAGUGGAGUUUGAACCUGGGUCUUCUGGUUCAUAGGCAAGUGUGUUACCCACUAGGCUACUAACACCCUACAUAUUGUCACUACUACAUCUAUCUGUAGAACCAAAGUAGACUAAUUUAAUAAUCUGGC